UGGGGGCACCCUGAUCCAGCCAUGCCGCGUGUGUGAAGAAGGCCUUUUGGUUGUAAAGCACUUUAAGCAGGGAGGAGAGGCUAAUGGUUAAUACCCAUUAGAUUAGACGUUACCUGCAGAAUAAGCACCGGCUAACUCUGUGCCAGCAGCCGCGGUAAUGCAGAGGGUGCGAGCGUUAAUCGGAAUUACUGGGCGUAAAGCGAGUGUAGGUGGCUCAUUAAGUCACAUGUGAAAUCCCCGGGCUUAACCUGGGAACUGCAUGUGAUACUGGUGGUGCUAGAAUAUGUGAGAGGGAAGUAGAAUUCCAGGUGUAGCGGUGAAAUGCGUAGAGAUCUGGAGGAAUACCGAUGGCGAAGGCAGCUUCCUGGCAUAAUAUUGACACUGAGAUUCGAAAGCGUGGGUAGCAAACAGGAUUAGAUACCCUGGUAGUCCACGCCGUAAACGAUGUCUACUAGCCGUUGGGGUCCUUGAGACUUUAGUGGCGCAGUUAACGCGAUAAGUAGACCGCCUGGGGAGUACGGCCGCAAGGUUAAAACUCAAAUGAAUUGACGGGGAAUCACUAGUGAAUUCGCGGCCGCCUGCAGGUCGACCAUAUGGGAGAGCUCCCAACGCGUUGGAUGCAUAGCUUGAGUAUUCUAUAKGGUCACCUAAAUA
rnacentral:rRNA from 1 species